AUAAGAAUAGAGAAAAUUCUGCAAAGUUCACAUUGGUUGAAGUCCAGUGGUAAAUAACGUAUCUACUCUAGACUGAUCAUUCUAAGGAGGAUUUUGUGCUGCUCUUGUUUUGCUGCUGGGCCUAUCCUGUUUCCAUUCCCAAAUCAAGUAUUCCUGGAAUUUAAGGUAUCACUUUACCAGCCUGACCACAAGUUCCCCAUUGUUUCCUCUGCUCUGCUCAUGCCCUGGAAUAAUGCCUCUCCCUGGAUACUAAAUUUACUGACCCUGCCUAGGACCCAGAGAAGAUUGAUGAGUCCUCAGCCUGUGCAUGUCUUCAAAAAGCCACCAACUGAUAGCUACAAAACUGCACUUCCUAGAGACAUGUUGAGAGAGGUUCAAGGCUCAACAGAACUUACGCUUUUGCUGUCAGAGCUCCACCACCAGAUAAGCACAACUGAGCGAAUGACACCAACCAGUGCCAAGAGAAGCAGGACUACCCAACUACACUUUGCCUAAAUUCCUGAUUCACAGAAUUAUAAGCAAAUAAAAUGAUUGUUUAAAGCA
rnacentral:lncRNA from 1 species